AGUAACACGUGGGGAACCUGCCCCUAAGUCUGGGAUACCAUUUGGAAACAGGUGCUAAUACCGGAUAAGAAAGCAGAUCGCAUGAUCAGCUUUUGAAAGGCGGCGUAAGCUGUCGCUAAGGGAUGGCCCCGCGGUGCAUUAGCUAGUUGGUAAGGUAACGGCUUACCAAGGCACGAUGCAUAGCCUAGUUGAGAGACUGAUCGGCCACAUUGGGACUGAGACACGGCCCAAACUCCUACGGGAGGCAGCAGCC
rnacentral:rRNA from 1 species